UACGAAGGGGGCGAGCGUUGUUCGGAUUUACUGGGCGUAAAGGGCGCGCAGGCGGCUCAUUUUGUCAGGCGUGAAAGCCCCGGGCUUAACCUGGGAACUGCGUUUGAUACGGAUGGGCUAGAGUUCGGGAGAGGAGAGUGGAAUUCCCAGUGUAGAGGUGAAAUUCGUAGAUAUUGGGAAGAACACCGGUGGCGAAGGCGGCUCUCUGGACCGAGGCUGACGCUGAGGCGCGAAAGCGUGGGGAGCAAACAGG
rnacentral:rRNA from 1 species